CAGCCGCCGCGGUAAAACCAGCACCUCAAGUGGUCAGGAUGAUUAUUGGGCCUAAAGCAUCCGUAGCCGGCUCUGUAAGUUUUCGGUUAAAUCUGUACGCUUAACGUACAGGCUGCCGGGAAUACUGCAAAGCUAGGGAGUGGGAGAAGUAGACGGUACUCGGUAGGAAGUGGUAAAAUGCUUUGAUCUAUCGAUGACCACCUGUGGCGAAGGCGGUCUACUAGAACACGUCCGACGGUGAGGGAUGAAAGCUGGGGGAGCAAACCGGAUUAGAUACCCGGGUAGUCCCAGCUGUAAACUAUGCAAACUCAGUGAUGCAUUGGCUUGUGGCCAAUGCAGUGCUGCAGGGAAGCUGUUAAGUUUGCCGCCUGGGAAGUACGUACGCAAGUAUGAAACUUAAAGGAAUUGGCGGGGGAGCAC
rnacentral:rRNA from 1 species